UGGGGAAUAUUGCACAAUGGGGGAAACCCUGAUGCAGCAACGCCGCGUGAGUGAUGAAGGCCUUCGGGUUGUAAAGCUCUGUCUUCAGGGACGAUAAUGACGGUACCUGAGGAGGAAGCCACGGCUAACUACGUGCCAGCAGCCGCGGUAAUACGUAGGUGGCAAGCGUUGUCCGGAUUUACUGGGCGUAAAGGGAGCGUAGGCGGAUAUUUAAGUGGGAUGUGAAAUACCUGGGCUUAACUUGGGUGCUGCAUUCCAAACUGGAUGUCUAGAGUGUUGGAGAGGAAAGUGGAAUUCCUAGUGUAGCGGUGAAAUGCGUAGAGAUUAGGAAGAACACCAGUGGCGAAGGCGACUUUCUGGACAAUAACUGACGCUGAGGCUCGAAAGCGUGGGGAGCAAACAGG
rnacentral:rRNA from 2 species